rnacentral:misc_RNA from 1 species
GGAGGGGCGAGGGCGAGCUAGAUAGCCGGACUUGGGACGCGAAGAUGAAGAACGACGGUGCCAUGGAUCAGGAGAAGGGAAGCUUCUCGCCAGGACGCCAUGGACGGAGAACAGGAGCUCGUCUGCCAGCACACUAGAGAUAACCAAGCAGGGGAAAAGGGGCAGCGCUGGGACAGGGAGCGCGUCCUACGCAACAUGGCGAGGUUGGCCUCUUGGCUCAAUGACGGCCGGCAAAGGGAAAGACCCAGGCGACCUGCUGCAGACCAGGGCGAACGCCAGGGUGCUCAGUCGGCGCGCAGGAAGAAACAGGGGAAGAGAGAUCCGCGCGCCAGGGAAGAGGGAGGAGCAGGGAGCUUGGCGCGGCUUGGGGAUGAGAGAGAGAGGCGCGGUGGCCAGGGAGCAGGCGAUGCCGCGGCUGGGGAGGGCUCGGUGAGCACCAAAAGGAAGGUGGCGGCGGCGUCCACCA